rnacentral:rRNA from 1 species
CUAGACAGUUUACCCGUCAGAGAUAGGUGUUCGCUUCGGGGACGUGAGACAGGUGGUGAUGGKGUCGUCAGUGGAUCUGAGAUGUUGGGUUAAGUCCCGCAACGAGCGCAACAAGGGCCUUAGUUGCCAUCAUUAAGUUGGGGACUCUAAUGAGACUGCCGGUGACAAACCGGAGGAAGGUGGGGAUGACGUCAAGUCAUCAUGCCCCUUAUGACCUGGGCUACACACGUGCUACAAUGGACGGUACAACGAGAAGCGAACCUGCGAAGGCAAGCGGAUCUCUUAAAGCCGUUCUCAGUUCGGACUGUAGGCUGCAACUCGCCUACACGAAGCUGGAAUCGCUAGUAAUCGCGGAUCAUCACGCCGCGGUGAAUACGUUCCCGGGUCUUGUACACACCGA